CCCCGCCCCGCCCCUCACUCCGCUCCCACUUCGCAUCCUUCUCAUUCAAGCCACCGCCAUGGCGCCAUGAGCCCAUGAGUCCCCGCUCCCACCUCAGCGACCUCGUUCUCCUCCCACCACCAUCGGGUGCCCCUCUCCUCCUAUCGCCUUCUCCCGCGGCAGCAGACGGUGCAGAGAUCCCACCGCCUCACGGCCGUCGCAGGCUGCUUGUUUGCAGCGUUGGCACCAACGGCAGCGGCGACAUGGCAGAUGUGUGCGCUGGAGUUGGUGUGUCUAGAGCACCAAUUUGUGCGUGUGCCUCUCGAGUCCCUCAGCGUCACCGUCCGCUCGAACCACCGCCACGCCGAGAUGGAGAUCUCCGUCGUCUUGUCCUCUGCCUCUGCUGCCCCACCGAGAGCAGAGUUGUCACCGUCGACCACUUCGUCUCUCUCGUCUCUCGCUUCCUCGGCUUCAACUCCGUUGUUGUCGUCAUCUUCUUUGCCAUCGCCCGGCGCCACCGUAGAAACCAGCCUCCCCGAGUGAGCUCUUCCGGUCGUACUUGUAUUAUUCGGCCCACUGUCGUGCUACAAGUAUUAGGUUUGUGUUGACUAGAGAUUUAGAAUUCAUUUUUUCAUUGCGGGUGAUCCAUUGCAUGCUCAAGGAUCGGUCUCGAACUUUCGAUUUCCUCAGAGGACUUUGGUUCCGUGUUGAGGGCAUUCAAAUUACUACUAAAAAAUUGGAAGUUCAAGACAGCCCUGAUGCCAUCAGCACCUAGGGAGAAGGAUCCACAAGUUACUACGAGCCCUGCAACGGGGCCUCCUCGGGUGCACACUCUCAUGCCUGUUAAUGCCACAGGAAGUCCUGCCAUGGACCUGAAGCUGGCGCAACCAUCUUGCCCUGGCCAUGUAGUACUCCUGCACCCUUGUGCACCUUGGCCUCCUCAUUUGCUAGUCCCGUUGUUUCUUCCACACCAAAAUGUGGUUCACUCUCUAACCGAAUUUCAAAUCCUCUCUAUUAAUGGGGAACAAUGCCUAUUGUCCUUAUUCUAUUUAUUGAUGGGCAGGAUGCUCUAGUGGAUGUGGCUGCAGCAGAUGUUAACCCUACGACCGAUACCUGUGAUGAGAAGAUGUUUCCCAAGGUGAAUAUGUUGUUCGACGGUGAAAGCGAUGUGUAUGAGUUCUACAAUGCAUAUUCAGAAAACGUGGGUUUUCUUUGUCCGAAGGUCAACGCUGUGGAAGACGUCAAAGAAUAUAAUCACUAGGAGAACUUUUGCGUGUUCGAGAGGGGUUUCGGAAGAAGGGAGCAAAUGAAGCAAAGUGUCCACAUCUUGAAACACGAAUUGGAUGCCCCGCAAGCUUGACCAUUAGACUUACUGCUAAUGGCAAGUACCAUUUGAUAGAGUUUGUGCCGAAUCAUAACCAUCAACUGGCAAUAGCCUCUACAAUUCAUAUGCUGAAAGCGAAGAAAAUCAGGCACAAAGCACGGGUUGUGAGAGAAAAUCUGACAGAUGAUACCGUGAGUACACCAGAUUUUGAGAAUGAAGAUGAGGCAUAUGAAUAUUAUAGUAUGUAUGCAGGGAAAAUUGGGUUUAUCGUGCGUACGGCUGGCAUGACAGUGAAUAAUGAGAAUGUUAUAACCACAAGAAUGCUUGUUUGUUCAAAAGAACGGUUCCGUGAGAAGAAAACAGGAGCAAAAAGAGUAAAGAAACCUCGACAGGAAAUGUGAACUGGUUGUCUAGCAUGUAUGGUCAUCAGGCUUGGAACUAACGGGAAAUAUCGAGUCACAGAACUUGUUACCUUCCACAAUCACUAGCUUGGAGCUGAAGCAGCUUCUGAUCUUGUCAUGGCAUCUGGGAGUAGAGAAAAUGAUCAAGAUAGAUCACCCGAUGAUUCUGUUUACAAGCAAAAUCUGAUUAAUGGAAGUUGCACUCUGAAUUCCCUAGAAGGUACAAGUUGAAAAAGAUACAAGUGUGCAAAUACUCCACACUCAGGUGAUGUUGGUGCUACACUAGAGUACUUGCAGAAGGUGCAGCAUGAUAACCCUUCGUUCUUCUAUGCUGUAAAAUCUGAUGAUGAUGGGAACUUCAUAAUUUUUAUGGGCACAUUCAAAAUCUAUUAUGGACUUUUUCCAUUUUGGUGAUGUAGUAUGUUUUGAUUCAGGAUAUGCAUUGCAAGGUUAUGAUAUGCCAUUGGCUUUGAGUGUGAAUCAUCAUAAGCAGACAAUUAUCUUUGGUGCUGCAAUUAUUCAUGAUGAAAGUAAAGAAGCUUUCCAAUGGUUAUUAGAUACUUUCAAGAUGGCAAUGAAUGGAACACAUCCCAAGACAUUGUUAAUUGAUAGAUCUGUUGCCUUAAAUGAAGCUGUUACAGCCCAUCGUUAUUGUGUGUGGCAAAUUUAUCAAAAUGCUCUACAACAGUUGAGUCAAGCUUUCCAUGGUUCAAAAACUUUAGAUUGCAACUUCAAGAGAUGUCUAUUUGAUUGUGAGGAUGAGUUUGUGACAGCAUGUAAGGAAAUGUUAGAAAAGUAUGACAUAGAAGAUAAUCAAUAGCUAGCAUAUUUGUUCUCAAGAAAGGAGAAAUGGGCACUGACAUAUGGUCGUGAUGCAUUUUAUGUUGAUAUGAAAAGCGUGCAACAAAAGGAAAGUUUGACAAGUGAGCUGAAGAAACAUCUAUCCUUGGAAUGUGACCUUUUGAACUUCUUUGAGCAGUUUGAAAGACUGUUAUGUGAUCGUCAGUCUACAGAGAUGGAGGCUGAACCAAGAGACCACUUUGUUAAAUUUGAUUCACUCAAUUCCACGAUGGACUGUACUUGUAAGACGUUUGAACUUAUUGGCAUCCCAUGUCGCCAUAUGCUGGAGGUACUUGACAUGAGGAAUAUCAAGGACCUUCCUACUCAGUCACCGUGAAAAGGUGGAGGAAGGAUGCCAAAUCAGGAUCCUCAAAUGGUGGCUAUUCUUUCUCAUUUGAUGGUGAUCCUGACUCCUCUCACAUAAAACAUUAUAAUUUGGGAAAUUUGGAUCCAUACCAUUAAAAGAUCACCACUUUGGAUCCAUACCAUUACUAUCUCACUUACAUGUGGGUCCACAUGAGUCAAUGACAUGUGGGAUCCAUGGUAUAUAUCUAAAGUUUGGAUCUUUUAAUGGUAUAGAUCCAAUUGUUCCUUAUAAUUUUUUGUGUCGUAUCUUCAAUAUAGCAGCGGCUAGGGCUGCAACUUUUGUUGAAUCAUUUGCAUAUAUGGAAAACCAGUCAAACAUACUGAUAGAUCAAAUAGAUCAAGUUAUUCAAACCAGCCCCACUGACAUAGCUAAUCUUAUUGGUGCUAAUUUUGAACAAACUCAAAAUUCGGUUGACAAUUUUGUCGCUGAAGGCAUUCAAAGUCAUACUAAUUUUCUUAAUGGCUCCUGUAUUGAAGUAUUGGUUUUCUUUCCAUAUAAAUACUUGUUGCCACCCAGUAAGCGCAUUAUGUGCAUUGUAGGCUCUCUAACAUUUCCAUUCACAUUAGGUGCUGACACAUUAGAUUACAGCUAACUGGUACCUACUGUUAAGAUGGUACUGUAGUACAGAACAAAGUAUUUCUGUUUGUCCAUGAACAACAUUGUGUCAUUUUAAUGUUUCACAAUGAAACCAUGAUUGUAUGGCUGCAUCAUUUACUCGUUACUCUAUCACCUGACCUUCUACCAGAGGAUAUUUCGUUUUCUUCAUUUGCUGACCAAGUCUAUUUAGGCAUGCAGAACGACAUAAUGGAUGUUCUACUAAUCUGUUAGUGACUUCACAUUCACUGCAGAGUUACAAAUAAUGGCAGGUAGGUUUUACAAUUGCUAGAGGUCCAUUUGGUUGUCCUAAGGAAGUAAUAUCAGAGACAACUUAUACACAACAUCUCACCUCCAUGCGAAACUACUCAACAAUUUUAGGCCUGAUAUUGUAUUUUUCUUAACCUAUCACCCAAUGAAAGAAAGGCAUUUCUUCUCCAGUACUCAUGGUAUGUACUUGAUGGGAAAGGAUGCUUCAUGAGGUAGUGCCCAAUAGAUCACCUGGUUUUCUCGCCUGGUGAUUGUGUACAGGAUGUUCCUGGUAAUUUGAGGGACUCCGCCUGUGUUGCCAGUUUAACAAGGUGAUGAUGUUGAGUGUAACCAACACGAGCCCUUCUCAUUUCUAACUAGUGUUGUACGCCUGUACCGUAAUAUUAUUGCUACUGUUGUUAUUACCCUUUAUAAUCUAGGAUUUUCUAUGGUUGCAUAAUUUUGAUGUGUUUAAUCUUGAAUUUGCUGUUAUAUAAAUAUUUCU